AUGUUGACAACGGUCAGUGUUUCUGUUGUUCUAUGACACCUCGAUACAAUCUCAUACGCAAAAUGUGCACGUUAGACAGUAAUACAAGUCUGUAAAAACGUCAGUAUCAAUUAUAAUGGAUUCCAAAUGCAUGUUAUGGAAAAAAGAAACCUAUGCAACAAUCAAAACUGAUUAAAUCAAUUGAAUUGAACUUGGAAAAUAUUAAUUCAAAUGGAUGUGUAAUUUGUUUAAAGUAUAAAAUAUUGAUAUAUAUUUUUAGUUUUAUUACAAAAAAAAUGUUCAUCAAAAUAUAAAUAUAGCUUUUCAAAAAUU